rnacentral:lncRNA from 1 species
AGGGGCGGGGAUCGCUUUCAUCCUGCCGGGGCUGUGUGCGUGUGUGCGCGUGUGUGAGCAUCCCGAGCAUCCCGGGGGAUCCCUCCAUCCCUGCCUGCCCGGGAAGCGCCGCCGGCGGUGUGCGGAGCCGAUAAGGAGAUGAAACAAUGCCUGCGACACCGGGAUGGCUCGGAAAUUAUACCUGGAUCCCUGUAAUCCUAAAUUCAACAUGAAGAAGGGACCUGAAUGCUACUACACAUCUGCCUGCUGAUUUCCAAACCAUCUUAUAGAAUUUCCAAAAUAGCUUAUGCAAUAUAUGACCUGGAGAGAAGGCACAUUUUCUUCCAGGAAAGAAAAAGGAAGAAAGGUCAAGCUUUACUGCCUCCCUCUUCCCAGAGGAAAGAUGGAAUAUGGAGGCUCAAAGGCCUGCCACGGUGGCUACAACAUUUCAACCCUGGAGGGGCAGAAAGAAGCAAGGAAAAACACCCCUCUAAGACCAGCCUGUGCUUUGUGAGUUUUGAUGAUCUUCCCUCUUUCCUUGCCCAAAGGAAACCUGUUUGUGACAUCUGGGGAAGAUGA